AAGGAUACAGGACUUGAUCCCAGGACCUCAGGAUCACGACCUGAGCUGAAGGCAGACAGACACUCAACCACUGAGCCACCCAGGUACUCCACCCUGUCCCUUGAUUCAACCUGAUUUUUACCUGGUUUGGCAAGGAUAAAUCCCCAGUUGUUCUAAGCACUUAUUUGAUAUGACUUUCAGGAUGUUGUAGCUCUUCUUGGGAGGCAGUAUGAGAAGGAAUCUCUACCUGGGGAUUAAAGGGGAUCUGGCAUGCUGGGCUAAGAUAGCUUGAAUCCUUUCUGCAGGAUAUGAGGUCACUGACAGUGCCUGUCAUCCAUACAUUCUGCUUGAAAACAACUGCUUAACAGGGUUCCAAAUAGGAAUUUUCUCCAACAGAAAGACUGGAAUAUGAGGCAUGUGGAAGGCAGCAGCUGCAGAGGAAAACACAUGGGCGAUUAAACCAGAUGAACCUAGGCUUAAAAUCAAGCUCUAUCCUAUGUCGUUGAAUGACCUUGGGCAAAUCACCUCCCUGCUUCUAACUUCAGACUCCUUCCCUACAAGAUUUUCUCCUCACAGUUGGGUCUGGUCCCAGAAGCCACCCUCAACUGCCCUGGAGAUCAUGCCUUUCCCAGACCUGCAUUUGCCCUCAGGGACCCAUAGUGAGAAACUCAGAUGGCCUUGGGGGGAGACCGCUCACACUGGCACAGGAGUAGAGGGCAGAAGUGGUGAGAAAAAAAAAAAAAAAACCUUCAGAUUUUCCCAAAUGUUCCUGCCACCAAUUGAAACAACUUCAAGUUUUUCCAUGGUGCUGUGGGGACCUCUGGUGGCAAGACAGCCACAUUGCUUCCCAAUGAAGUCCCUGCUGAGCACCAGGGUGAAGUCCCUGCUGAGCCAUGCACUCAGACUCUGAGUCCUGAAUUCAGUAAAUGUCUACUGAGCUCCUACUACUCGCCAGGCCCUGUUCUGGAUGCUGAAAAAACCAUGAAAAGCUCCCAAAUUCCACCCACACAGCUGGGCCAGACAGAACACAUGUCCAAUUCAGUCUUUAUUGACUGUUUCAACUUGGGGCCACCAGUGUGAACAGGUGGAAG